AUUGAACGCUGGCGGCAGGCUUAACACAUGCAAGUCGAGCGGGGUGAUGGUGCUUGCACUAUCACUUAGCGGCGGACGGGUGAGUAAUGCUUAGGAAUCUGCCUAUUAGUGGGGGACAACAUCUCGAAAGGGAUGCUAAUACCGCAUACGUCCGACGGGAGAAAGCAGGGGAUCACUUGUGACCUUGCGCUAAUAGAUGAUCCUAAGUCGGAUUAGCUAGUUGGUGGGGUAAAGGCCUACCAAGGCGACGAUCUGUAGCGGGUCUGAGAGGAUGAUCCGCCACACUGGGACUGAGACACGGCCCAGACUCCUACGGGAGGCAGCAGUGGGGAAUAUUGGACAAUGGGGGGAACCCUGAUCCAGCCAUGCCGCGUGUGUGAAGAAGGCCUUAUGGUUGUAAAGCACUUUAAGCGAGGAGGAGGCUCUUUUGGUUAAUACCCAAGAUGAGUGGACGUUACUCGCAGAAUAAGCACCGGCUAACUCUGUGCCAGCAGCCGCCGUAA
rnacentral:rRNA from 1 species